UACGGAGGAUCCAAGCGUUAUCCGGAAUUACUGGGCGUAAAGAGUUGCGUAGGUGGCAUUGUAAGUUGGUAGUGAAAGCGUUCGGCUCAACCGAAUAAACAUUACCAAAACUGCAAAGCUAGAGGACGAGAGAGGUAAUUGGAAUUCCUAGUGUAGGAGUGAAAUCCGUAGAUAUUAGGAGGAACACCGAUGGCGUAGGCAGAUUACUGGCUCGUUCCUGACACUAAGGCACGAAAGCGUGGGUAGCAAACGGG
rnacentral:rRNA from 1 species